UGAGGAAUAUUGGUCAAUGGGCGAGAGCCUGAACCAGCCAAGUAGCGUGCAGGAUGACGGCCCUACGGGUUGUAAACUGCUUUUAUAAGGGAAUAAAGUGGGUCUCGUGAGACUUUUUGCAUGUACCUUAUGAAUAAGGACCGGCUAAUUCCGUGCCAGCAGCCGCGGUAAUACGGAAGGUCCAGGCGUUAUCCGGAUUUAUUGGGUUUAAAGGGAGCGUAGGCCGCCCCUUAAGCGUGUUGUGAAAUGCCGCGGCUCAACCGUGGCACUGCAGCGCGAACUGGGGGGCUUGAGUGCACGCAACGC
rnacentral:rRNA from 1 species